GUGUGUAUUGACAGGUGGUGGAACAAAUAUGAGUUUUAAUUAGUUUCUCUAAUUAAUAUAUAAACUCAUAUUUAGUUCUAUCUCCUGUUGAAGCACACA
rnacentral:pre_miRNA from 1 species